rnacentral:lncRNA from 7 species
GACGGUAAAUAAAUAGAAUCGUACAUACAACCACACGUACAAGAAAUGUAGUCCGUUUAGUUCGAGUGAAUAAAGCUCUAUUUUAGUAGGAAAAUGCAUGUACAUACAACCACACGUACAAUAGAUUAUAAAAUAAAUUAAAUCAUAUUAAAUUUAACUUUUGUCUCUUAUUUAUUUCAGUUGUACUAAUAAUAGGAAAAUGUUAAAUAAUUUUUUAGUCUUCUUACGAGUUAUUUAAUAUGUUUUAAAUACUUUUAGUCCUUCUAACCAAGUAGGCUUAUGCAAGAAGAAGGAAAUGUCGGCAAAGAUAGAUAUUUGAGGCAAUGCAUGCAUGCACAUGCCGCAGCCACGAGCAGGUAGGUAUCUAGGCCGCCAUGAUAAUACAAAGGGUCCGGCACGGUGCAGUCCACUAAUUACGUGUUUUUGAGGGCGAUGAGAUGCUUACCUCCACUGUACCCGUGAGGGUGAUAUAUAUGUGAGUACGCAGGAACGGAUCGCCGGAUCGGCUGAGGCCACACACUGCAUGGCGUAAGUGCUCACCUCACCGGUUUGUUCGGCCCUGCAGGGUGGGUGAGUCGAGUCCUGUACACUUGUUACACAGUAUCUUCCCUUUCCUGAACGAACUCGAAAAAUAUCACUGUCCCCCUUUGAUCUUCCGGGUUAAGACGUGUAAUAACUGUAGCCAGGGCUUUUGUCCAUAAAUGAAAAAAAAAACAUGUUUCUGCGCUCUCUCUCUCUCUCUCUUAUAUUUUAGACAGAACAAAAGUUUUUU